rnacentral:rRNA from 1 species
GAAAGUAAAGAAGGGCGUAUGGCGGAUGCCUAGGCUCUCGGAGGCGAAGAAGGACGUGAUAAGCUGCGAAAAGCUGCGGCGAGGAGCAAAUAUCCUGCGACCCGCAGAUUUCCGAAUGGGGCAACCCGGCAGGACAACCUGUCAUCCCGGGAAACGGGAAGCAAACGUGGGGAACUGAAACAUCUCAUUACCCACAGGAAAAGAAAAUAACAAUGAUUCCGUCAGUAGUGGCGAGCGAAAGCGGAAGAGCCCAAACCGGUUCUGUUUCGGCAGAGCCGGGGUAGAAGGACUGCAUAGGACAAAGGAGCAGGUAGCCGAACGGUCUGGAAAGGCCGGUCAAAGACGGUGAUAACCCGGUAGGCGAAACCAGCGACAGCGACAGCAGUAUCCUGAGUAGUGCGGGACACGAGAAAUCCUGUAUGAAUCGGCGGGGACCAUCCCGUAAGGCUAAAUACUCCCGAGAGACCGAUAGCGAACCAGUACUGUGAAGGAAAGGUGAAAAGAACCUCGAACAGAGGAGUGAAAAAGACCCUGAAACCAUACGCCUACAAGCGGUCGGAGCCCCUACGUGGGGUGACGGCGUGCCUUUGCAUAAUGAACCUACGAGUUACUUU